UACGGGGGGGGCAAGCGUUGUUCGGAAUUACUGGGCGUAAAGGGCCAGUAGGCGGCCAACUAAGUCCGACGUGAAAUCCCAAGGCUUAACCUUGGAACUGCGUCGGAUACUGGAUGGCUUGAAUUCGGGAGAGGGAUGCAGAAUUCCAGGUGUAGCGGUGAAAUGCGUAGAUAUCGAGAGGAACACCUGCGGCGAAGGCGGGUAGCUGGGCCGACACUGACGCUGAGGCGCGAAAGCCAGGGGAGCGAACGGG
rnacentral:rRNA from 1 species